rnacentral:rRNA from 1 species
UACGGAGGGUGCAAGCGUUAUCCGGAUUCACUGGGUUUAAAGGGUGCGUAGGCGGGAGAGUAAGUCCGCGGUGAAAUCUCACGGCUCAACCGUGAAACUGCCGUUGAUACUGCUUUUCUUGAGUUCGGGAGAGGUUGAUGGAAUUCCAGGUGUAGCGGUGAAAUGCGUAGAUAUCUGGAAGAACACCAGUGGCGAAGGCGGUCAACUGGCCCGUAACUGACGCUGAGGCACGAAAGCGUGGGGAGCGAACAGG